rnacentral:lncRNA from 1 species
CUAGUACAUAAUAAUCGGAUUCACUAACAAUAAUAAUUUAUUAAAAUUUUAAAUUAUCAGCCCAAAAUUUUUAAACCUCGUUAUUAAUUAUUAUAGGGAGCGAUCCAUUUCAUAUUUCCAACUGAUUAAUUAUCAAGCUCAAAAUGCUUAAAUCUAGUUAUUAUUAUUAGAGCGAAGAUCUCUUAUAUUUCAAAUCAAAACUCCUUUUCUAUUCAAUGUGAGACUAUUAGAAUAUUACAUCUUAUUAUUACUAGUGUGUACGUCACUCAUAAAUUUAUCACACUCUCUCACGUUAUUUGAUGUGGAAUUAUUAGAAUGUCACGUGAUACUUCAGUCCACGAACUUUAAUUCUUUAUAAUUUCUAACUCAUAAGCCAGCUCAAAAGGCUGUCCAUCUUUUACUCAAAAUUAUUUGAAUUUUUCCCUUUUCUAGCAAUACAAAAAAAGAAA